rnacentral:rRNA from 1 species
CCUACGGGAGGCAGCAGUGGGGAAUAUUGGGCAAUGGAGGCAACUCUGACCCAGCAACGCCGCGUGAAUGAUGAAGGUCUUCGGAUUGUAAAGUUCUGUGAUCGGGGAUGAACACACUGACGGUACCCCAAUAGCAAGCCACGGCUAACUACGUGCCAGCAGCCGCGGCAAUACGUAGGUGGCAAGCGUUCUCCGGAAUGCCUGGGCGUAAAGGUGGCGUAGGUGGUUGAGUAAGUUGGCGGUGAAAUUCCGGGGCUCAACGUCGGCGCAGCCGCCGAAACUAUUAGACUGGAGUGCAGGAGAGGUAAGUGGAAUUCCUGGUGUAGCAGUGGAAUGCGUAGAUAUCA